CCCGGAACUAGCCCGUCUGGCGUCUGAGGCCCAGAACUGACAGUGGAGCCGCCGCGCUCCGGAUCGUGCGCUCACAAGCCGCGUCUGUGACUCCGGGAGAGCUCCCGAUCCCCCACCAUGUGCCACCAUGUGCCGACGUUCCAGGUCAUGGGUGCUUCCAGACUUGCUGCCGAGGUUCUUACAAUCCCCAGCUCCCACAUACUUCAUAUUUCCUGCUUCUGGUGAAAAAAUACAAAAGCUCUAAUGCAUUUCAACUUGUCCAAAUGGGCCCUCAGUGUGGAAGAUGACUUUAGUUUCUCAAACAGGUAAGGGAAAUCACUUUUGAAGUAGCAAGACACAGUACUAGAUUAAUAUGACUUAGGGUAAGUAACAAACUGCAUUUAUUUUCAUGUUUUUAUAGUUUGAACAUGUACCCAUAAUCACAUCAAUAUAAAUAUAUCCAUAAGCACAAUCUUUGUUGAACCUCUGUUUUAGAGAUUCUACUAUUCCUCACCUCCUCUAGUAAGUUCUACCUAAACACUCCUUUCUUGCUAGCUUUGGUUUACUGAUACCACAAUGGUCAAGCUAACCUCUAUUCCA
rnacentral:lncRNA from 1 species